GUCAUCUUCCCUUUGCCCUUGAUGUCGAUCUCUCCUCUCAGCUCCAGCUGGAAGCAGUUGAACUCCAGCAGGACGUCGCGAGUCGCCGCCGACACGUGGAUCUUCAGCGCUGCACAAACACACAGACACAUGCAGUGUCUGUAGUUCUGACCUUCUCCGCUGGACUCCAUACGUGACGACGUGUUGACGGUGUCACCGAACAGACAGUAACGUGGCAUCUUCAGACCCACCACUCCUGCACACACCGGACCUGCAGCACACAACAUAACACGCAGCAGGAUUUCAGCUGUUGUUCUGGUCGGUGGCGGAUCUUGAAGGUUCGGACGGCGUCCAGCAGGGCGAGGGCCAUACGGGUGAUCUCUCUGCCGUGCAGCUUCCCGUUCCUCACCGGCAGCCCCGACACCACCAUGUAGGCGUCGCCGAUGGUCUCCACCUGGGGGCGCCACAGGACCACAACCAACAGAGAUGGCAGUGAAACCCACGAUGUCACUGAAGUAGAUGGUGACGGAGUCGAAGGCCUCCGCCUGAACCGUCUCACCGCGCUUCAACUGCUCCGCUACUGAGCUGAGGACGGGGCGAGAGAGGUGCACAGACACAGGGAGAGAGAGAGGCUCAGUGACCACAAACUGGCAGCCAAAAGAAAACAGAAUAUGUGGUCAGUGUUCGACAGAUUUCAACAAGCUAAAUGAGCUCAAAAUGAAAAAUACUCCGAGGAGAAGGAGGCAGGGCAGAUCCUGCUGCCCAAUAUGUAUCAACAUGCAACAACCUGAGGGGCGAAACUUUUCCAUGUCAACUUUAAGGUUUCUCAGUGAUUUCAACUCUACACACAACACUACAAUUGAAAUUUGACCACGAGCCUAUUCUGAAUAAAUGAGGCCUUUGACAGACUGCAGGCUGCCGGCUCUGAAGCUGUUCGACACUUCAGCGUUGGCGGUUCAAGUCCUGGAAAGUGUUUUUGGAAAUGAAGCUGGAAAGGAAGAAAGACUGCUGAGUGAUCGAAGCGUCGUCCAGCUGGCUGAUCAUCACAGCUGGCAACAGUCAUCGUCACGACUCUGACUAAAUCGCUCCAUCCGCCGCCGACCUCCGCUUUGUUUGCUGCUUCUCUGAUCGACGACUGAACGCAGCAGCAGUUUCCAAUCAGAGAUUCAUCCAUUGGAAAUCUGUACUACAGCUAAUCUCCAAACCAAACUUGCAUUCCAAAAGACAUCAGCGUAAGCCCGACUUCACUGAUCAGACCUCAGCUGAAGGCGGUUUUCCUCAAACAGAGACAAACUAAAAUUGGGAAACUCGACUUUCCAGGAUGAAGUGGUUUCUCACUCUGUGGUUUGGCCAACAAAACAAACAAAUCCUUUGAGCUCUUUUAUCUAAUUUUUCAGUGGAACAAAUGUGUUGUCAGCAUGUGGCUAAUGAAGUGCCAACAUAAAACCCCAAAAUGUAUCUUGCUAGGUUGUUGUUGAUUGCUGUUAUUUAAUUGCACUCUAGUCUACUUCACUAACAACCAUCACGAAUGUUACAUUUAUUCUGAAAGUACUUGGUAAACAGGCUUCCAGACGGGAUGAGACGGGAUUCUGUCAUGACCUCAGUAAUCAGCCAACAGUGCUGUUAAUGCUGCUCAGGUACAGCUCAUGAGUUCAUUUGCAAAUCAUCUGUAGACAUAAACGACAUGACCUUCAGAGGCCCGUUCAACGCUGUCUCUUCCUCUCUGGACAUACCUGAAGACUUAUACUAAAAGAGCAGAAUGAAAAAGUGUUCAUUUCCUGAAAUACAUGCACGUACAUGUCGCAGCUCCGGCACCCUGCUCAUAGUUUUUUUUUUUUUUUUUUACAGAUUUUCAGUCACAAGCAUCCAAAAACUGUAGUGUUUCCUGCUGCUAGAAGACAGGAAGGUCCUCUGGUGGUGAGGACAGUGUUCAAAGAUCCAAAAUUUAGGACCCGAUCCCAAGCAGACACGUGAAAAUCAUAACCUGAUUUGUUUAAUUUAGUUAUGGGGAAAAAAAGAGACCUGAUCUGGUCUGAAUGGAUAAUUAGACCCUGUAGAAGCCUUCAGAUACAUUGUUUUGAUGACGUCAAGUGUCCACGUACUCUGUACAUACUGUAUCCUACCUUUAGGGCUGAGUGGGUCUCCCUCCAGGUAAAAGGCUCCCCGGCGCAGCGCCACCUCCUGGAGGACGAUGCCGAAGCUGUAGACGUCUCCUUUCUGAGUUCCCUGAGGAGGAGGAGAAUCCAUCCUGAGCAGCUCUGGAGCCAUCCACAACCGCUCUGCAGGAGGAGGAGGGGCAUGGAAAUAACUGCUGCAGUAAAAUGGAUAAAUGGCAACUCACGGGCAUAGUAGGCAUGAGCGUCUUUUCCUGAGUCGCUGUCAGAUCGAAAGCUGGACAAACCGUAGUCUGUGAUCUUCAGGACGAAGCGGUUGUCGACGACACAGUUUGACGACUUGAGUUUACCGUGAGAGACGAUGACGCUGUUGUGGAGGAACACCAUGCCCUGCAGAGAGAGAGACGUGUAGCACUAUAGAAGAACACCUACAGCUGAUAAUCAGCACUUUGUCCAGGUUGCUCAUCUGGACGUCGUCCCAGGAAAUCCUCCAGAGCUGAGCCACCAGCUCCUUCUCCAGCUUCAUCCUCCUGCCGAGAAAAAGCGACGCAGGUUACAGACAGACUCAGUUUCCUGCUAAAUACUUUCCCUAAGUUGGAGGAGGUCGGGGUAGAUGGUUAAUUAUACACAGUUCAGGACUUUGACACCAGAGACCAAAGCUCAUGCCCUGUUGACAUCAUGUCCUUCAGUUUAGGCUGCUUGGGCAAGGUUAGGGAAGGUGGUCUUGGUUGAAUAUAAGUCAACACUAACUUGAAGCACAAGACAGGACAUGUUGACUCAUCACAUAUUUAACCAAAACCACCAUCUUUCAUUAACCAUAACCACGUUUGUUGAAAAUACAAACAUUGGAAAACAUCUUUCCAUAUUUCCCCACAUUUGGCUGACAAAAUAAAAAUAAAUCCAUGAAUUGUGAAGACGAAACAGAACAGCUGUCUGAUGAGACGGCUACAAAAAAUAUAUAUAACAACAUUUGAAGCAAACUGCUUCACUUGGUCACUGAGACACAGAAGAUGUAAUAGAUGUAAUAGAAAGCAUCUUUCUGCACUCAUAUGACAGCACUGAGAGACCCGUGGGUGGAGAAACCCUCCAUCAGUGCUUCAUGAAAGCAGUGCAGCAUCUAAGAUUUAGUUUGAUCAGAGCGGACAGCUGCAGCUCUCACCUGUAGAUGAAGAUGGUGACUGUGAGGGUCAUCGUGACGAUGAAGAAGACCACGAUGGAAACCAUCUGGUGGAUGGUGAUCGUCUCUGUCAGAGAGAGAGGAACUGUUUAAUAACCUCUGCAUCCACGUUCUGUACGAACAAAUAACUGAAUACACAGACAAUACAACAUAAUGUACCGCCAACCAUGAAUGAAUAUUAAUGUUAACUGCACAGUUCUGGGGAAAUGGAGGGAAGGUCAAGGUUCGCUAAAAAGAAACUACACUGGACAAAUCUGAACACAGCCUGUGCACGACUGAAGUGAACUUGAUCUUGGUUUGUCCACUGACUCGCGAGGCAGAUGGGGUUGUCGUGCUUGAAGCCACAGACAGGAACGUCAGGAGGACAAACUCCACCCGGCCAGUGCAGUGUUGUUCCAGGGAUGGCCGUCAGCUGCUCCUCUGAACUGUUGUACACCAAAACUAUCUGGAAUAAAACAACAACAUAUUGCAAGAUGAUGUCUGCAGGUAAGAUAUUAUCAAACAGCAUGAUCAGGACAGUCGUGUGCUUUCUUGGAUCUCUGAGUUUGAGUUUCUGCAGGUGGCUCUCUUCUUUGCCUUUAUAAUCAUUACAGCCACGGUGGCUGUCGUUCCUCAAGCUCAGCCCCCAGUUCACUGUGGGACCAUCUGGAGGUAUCAAAGCCAGUUGCACCUGUUAAUGUGCAGUGGUGGAAGAAGUAUUCAGAACUUUUACUUAAGUAAAAGUAGCAGUACCUCGGGUAAAAUGACCCCACUGCUAAAGUCUCGCAUUUAAAAUCUGACUUAAGUAGAAAUACAGAAGUAUUUAAAGUAACGAAAAUUAGGCAGCAGAAGCCCCGUCAGUGUGAUGUUGUAUUAUUGGAUUUUUAUCAUGCAUUGCUGUGUGAGCGGCAUGUUAUAUUGUAGCUGGUCAAAAUUAAGAUAAUUUUAACUUUUUAUACAGUUGUGUAGUUUAAUCUAUUAAAAAAAUAA